ACCCAUUUUCUUCCCAAAAUUUUAGUUCCUUCAAAAAUUAAUUUCACAUCUUCGUCCAAAAAUUUCGGCUCUCUCUCUCACAAAUCAAUUUUGGAGUUCUAAUUUCUUCAUCCCAACAAAUUCUAGUUUCGUUCCCUCUUGCUUCUCCUUCUUCUUCUCCUCCUUCGCCUCUUCUUCUCCUCAUUCUCUUCUUCUUCCCUUCCUUCUCCUUCUCGUCCUCAUCCUCUUCUUCUCUUCUCCUCGCCCACCUCCUCCACCUUCUUCUUCUUCUUCAUACAACACUGAAUGUGAAGAAUAAAGGCAUUUGAGUCCCAUAUGAUACAACUCCAAAUGUGAAAAACAGAGUAGAGAUUUCGAGAAGAUCUGAGCUUAAACGGAGAACUAGUAAUAAAUUCAAGGAUUACACGAACAGAUAAGUGUUGCGACGUUGGGAGGUAGCGGUGACUACAAUGAAAGUCGAAGAUCAUUCAUGGUUUGUUCGAGGUUCAAGAGCUUGAUCUGAUUUUAUCUUCCCGAUUGAGCAUAAAACAUCUUUUACAGGUUUGUGUUUUAGCUUAAUGGUAGAGAUUAACGACCUAAAUUUCUUGGUGUCUUCAUGCUUUUUGGGAGAUGACUUAUUCUUAAUUCGUAUGAGUUUGUUCUGUUAGCUCAUUUAGUCCAUGUAGCCCUUUCUGAUGUUAAAUUUUGACCAAGUUUUUGUGUCUGAUGAGGAAAAUUAAUGAUUUUGUUGGUAA